rnacentral:rRNA from 1 species
UACGUAGGGGGCAAGCGUUGUCCGGAUUUACUGGGCGUAAAGAGCGCGUAGGCGGAAGGUUAAGCGUGGCUUGAAAGCCCCCGGCUCAACCGGGGAGGGGGGCUGCGAACUGGCCUUCUUGAGGGCGACAGAGGAGUGUGGAAUUCCUGGUGUAGCGGUGAAAUGCGUAGAUAUCAGGAGGAACACCGGUGGCGAAGGCGGCACUCUGGGUCGGCCCUGACGCUGAGGCGCGAAAGCUAGGGGAGCAAACGGG